rnacentral:rRNA from 1 species
UAAGACGGGGGGCGCAAGCGUUGUUCGGAAUUACUGGGCGUAAAGGGCGGGCAGGCGGUCUGCUCAGUCUUCUGUGAAAAUCCGGGGCUCAACCCCGCGAAAUGCAGAAGAUACUGGCAGACUAGAGACUGGUAGAGGCUAGCGGAAUUCCUGGUGUAGCGGUGGAAUGCGUAGAUAUCAGGAAGAACACCUGUGGCGAAGGCGGCUAGCUGGGCCAGAUCUGACGCUCAUCCGCGAAAGCGUGGGGAGCAAACAGGAUUAGAUACCCUGGUAGUCCACGCCGUAAACGAUGGGCACUAGAUGCCGGGUCUAUAGACAGGUUCGGUGUCGCAGCUAACGCACUAAGUGCCCCGCCUGGGGAGUACGGUCGCAAGGCUA